CCGUAUAUUAAACUAAAAUUAACUGACAGAAAUCUAUCUCCUUUUCUUUACCUUUAUUCAUCUUUCUAGGCACCUUCCUUUCCGCUGCACUGUCAUAGAUCCAGAGAGAUGUUGCUAGAGCCCCAGUAGAUUCUUCAGAUAAGUCUUCAUUGUCUAUGGUGGUGUUCAGGUCGCUCAGCUAUUCAAGAUCCGCCACCAGUGCUGUCGUCUUGUCUGAGUCUUCGUUGCCGACUUCAGCGGAUGAGGAUUCAUCUUUAGUGAAAAAAUCAUUCUAUUGUUAUGAGCUAGCCAGCUAAUGUGGUCGAUGAGGGUGAGAGUGGAUUUUGUAUCUUGCAUAAGCACUCGAGUAUUGCAGCAACAAAGGCCGUGCCUUGUACUCUUGUUUGACCAGUGACCCUUGUAUGGAGAAUUCCACAUAAGCCUCCAUCAAUAAUUCGGCUGCUCUUGGUUCUUCAGACGAUGGUACGUUUCAUUAACAGUUAUACAUUUGUUGUGAAUUAGAGGAUUCAGUAACCUGAUGUUCACAUUGUUAAACAUCAUGCGAUAUGUAUGUGUGUAUGUUUCACAUGCCCUUAAUUUUGGUGGAGACUGGGAACCCCUUGCAGAUCGUGAACCAAGUCAAUUACUCGUUAUAGCACGCUGGCCCUUCCCAUGGACUGUCCGUGUACUGAUUUUGGCCCUUCCCAUGGACUGUCUGUGGACUGUUCAUGUACUGAACUCAAAUCAGUACACGGACAGUCCAUGGGAAGGACAAGCGUGCUGAUAUGAGUUCAGUACAUGAAUAGUCCACAGACAAACUCUCUGGACUAAACAAAGGAAGGAGACAGGUUGGUGUGGCUAUGCUCGGGUUCAAAGCAAAGGAAUGAGUCACUUAGGAGCAGAUAUAUCUAGAUAACAUCUAAGGCACUGGCGUUUUUGCAGGAUCCUUAACAGAAAUAAUAUUUUUUUCUUUUUUCAAAUUUAAUAUUUGUGUGUAUGCUUAAUGAUCAAAAGUAUGUUUGUCGAAUUGUAUUACAAUGUAAAUAAUUUUAUUUAUUCUUUAUAUUUAUUUUUUUCACUGGUUA